UUCAUGGUGACCACAACCAAAACUGAGACUGCAAAAGAAAGACAGACAGAUUGCUCAAGAAAAUGUUAUAAACAAGAAAUAUCUGGAAAACAUUUGGAUAUGUUAACUCAAGUCUUCACGAACCUAAAGCCACAACCAACUAGCAGCUGUGAUCAUUAACUAAAUCCAGAAAGGAAAAUAAAUCAAAGAAAAGAUCAGCUUUCUUCUUCACAACUCUGUCAGCUGUCAUAAGUGAGGAUUUCAGUUUGACUGGAGAGUAGACAGAGGCAUACAGAGCUGUACUUUCCCAAUCAGGAUCAAGCCUGGACUAAAAUGUCUGCCCAAUCAGCAACAAUGGAGGCUAUUCCACUGACUGCUGUCCCAGGGACAGGUGAAACGACAGAUGCCCAAAAUGACACCACCUGCCUUCAAGUGAUCACCUGCUGUGGUUGUGACCAUACUGUUCCCUCCUGUGCCAAGGACAGGGACUAUAGGAGACUGGCCAUUAGCAGCAUCAUCUGUGGACUCUCCUGCAUUGGCAUUUUAGCUUUGGUCAACUCAGUCAAGGCUCGAGAGGCAAGGAAGACGACUCCAGAGAAGGCUAAACAAUACUCCCAACGGGCAAGAACGUUUGGGAUCAUUUCUAUUGUGGUGUGGGUGGCGAUUCUGGUACUCAGCCCACUACUAUUGGUACUGGUGUCAUACAUACUCACUCUGAUAGACUGACAAAUUCCCAGGAACCACCAAGGUGGAUGUACUGUACCAUAAGGAUGGCUACAGGACAGCGGUCCAACUUCUUUAGUAUUGAUCUUGGACUGCCGUGACACUGUGAGGUGGGAACAGAUGGAAAAGCACCUCCAGUGUAUACAGCCUUCCUGAGUAUCACUCUGAUAAGGCUGUUUUGCUGAUAAGGAUUUACAAAGGCACCUUUAACUUUCUUUUGUGUCACUCUGGAAUUUAUCGCUGGAAGAAUGGUUUAUAGUUAACAUUCAAGUGAUACCACAGCUAUAAAUACAUCAUAAAUAUUAAGAUAUUUUGACAUUUAUCAGUAGCCCAAUCAGACUUUUAGCACUUAGAGUAAGGAUUGUAGUCAAACUGCCUCCUUCCUGAAUAAGAGGUCGGUUCAGAGAUGAGAGAUGAGCAAGGGGACACAAAAUAACCACUUGUUUUUGAU